rnacentral:rRNA from 1 species
AACGAACGCUGGCGGCGUGGAUAAGACAUGCAAGUCGAACGGGACUUUUCCGAGUAGCAAUACCUGGAAAAGUUUAGUGGCGAACGGGUGCGUAACACGUGGGCAAUCUGCCGAGAAGUGGGGGAUAGCUCGCCGAAAGGCGAAUUAAUACCGCAUAUGAUCAGGGAAGACAUCUUUCCAAGAUCAAAGCCGGGGCAACCUGGCGCUUUUUGAGGAGCCCGCGGCCUAUCAGCUAGNGGUGAGGUAACGGCCCACCAAGGCGAUGACGGGUAGCUGGUCUGAGAGGACGACCAGUCACACUGGAACUGAGACACGGUCCAGACACCUACGGGUGGCAGCAGUCGAGAAUUUUUCUCAAUGGGGCAACCCUGAAGGAGCGACGCCGCGUGGAGGGUGAAGGCUUUCGGG